GUUAUUUUGGCAGACUAGUGCUAUUGAUUUAGAAUCUUUGUAUGUAAUUUAUAUUACAAAUAACA
rnacentral:tRNA from 1 species